GACGAACGCUGGCGGCGUGCCUAAUACAUGCAAGUAGGACGCAGUUGCGAACGGGUGAGUAACGAGUUGGUAACUGCCUAUUAGAGGGGGAUAAAUAUUGGAAACGAUAGCUACUACCGCAUACUAGUAGAUGGACCUGCGUUGUAUUAGCUAGUAGGUAGGGUAAUGGACUACCUAGGCGACGAUACAUAACAGACCUUAGAGGGGGAGCGGCCACACUGGGACUGAGACACGGCCCAGACUCCUACGGGAGGCAGCAGGAGGGAAUCUUCGGCAAUGGGGGGAACCCUGACCGAGCAACUCCGCGUGAGUGAAGAAGGUUUUCGGAUCGUAAAGCUCUGUUGUUAAGGAAGCGGUACUUAACCAGAAAGGGACGGCUAACUACGUGCCAGCAGCCGCGGUAAUUC
rnacentral:rRNA from 1 species